rnacentral:lncRNA from 1 species
GUCUUCUCUCCUAGUUAGAUUGUAAGUAGCUGCUUUAUAUGCUAUGCUGGUAAUGUGACUCUGGACCCAAUACAAUAAAACAGUGAGAUGAUCUGUAUUAAUUACCUGUCAUUCAUUUUUUUUAUGUAAGCUGUUAUGGAGGAUCUGGAGCCCAGCUAGAAGCUUCCUACAAGAUGAAGGUCAGAAUGAAAAAGAACUAAAGACUUGUACAUUUCAUAUGAUAGAAUCAACAAUAUUUUAAAAUGAUUCCUUAACGAGUCUUGUUACUGUACAUCUAUUUUGUAAUGGGUAAUAAGUUGUUCUAUUACCCAUUCAAGCUUCCCAGAUCAGGGCCGUAUUUACCAUUAAGCAGUCAGCAAACACUAGGCAGGGGGGGGGGGUCUGUUAAAAGUCCCCCUUACCUCUUGCCCAAUGUUUGCUAACUGGAACAAAGGCUUCUGGACUCUGGGAUCUUUGUGUCCAGUCUGAGGGAGCCUGAUCUGUGCAUGGCCCUGUUCCCUUAGACUGACCACAGCAACCCAGACUACUACACAAACACACUACUACACAUGCUGCUACCCACACUGUUACACAUAGUUCUACACAUACUCUCUCUCUCUGAUCACCACCUCCUAUCGUUUGCUCUCGAGUACCCCCUCACCCAACAACCUCAGCCUAACCCCCCUCAACUAAGGAGGAACCUUAAUUCUAUUGACCCCCAGCAGCUGUCAGCUGAUAUUGAUUCACAACUGCUAUCUAUCCCUUCCCUCUCCUGUCGCUCACUGGCCAUCUCCACAUAUAACACUACCCUCACCUCUGCCUUGAACGCUGCAUCCCCGCUCCAAACAUGCACCUCGAGGUGGACAUGCCCCCAACCAUGGCAUACUAAAUCAACACGCUACCUGCAAAGAUGCUCCCGAUGUGCUGAACACUCCUGGAGCAAGUCUCGCACCAGGCAGACUUUCUCUAUUAAAGAUUCAUAUUGUGUUCAUACAGCGCAGCCCUUGUCCUCGCCAAACCGUCAUACUUUUCCUCACUCAUUAGAUUAGAUUGCUCCUGCAAUCCCAGGCCUCUCUUUGACACCUUUAACUCUCUUCUUCGCCCAGCUGUGGCCACCCCCCAAACUAACCUUACAGUCGAUAGCUUUGCAUGCUACUUUACCGACAAGAUUGAACAGCUAAGGAAAGAAUUCUCACCACCCUACCAUUCUCUUUCUCAACCACACGUAGAUCAUGCCUUUCCUACCCUUCAGACUUUCUCCCCGGCUACUGGACAAGAGGUGGCUGCACUUCUCCUUUCCUCUCGCCCCACCACUUGCCCGCUCGGUCCUGUCCCAUCUCACCUUAUCAGACCUCUCUCCCCUUGUCUUGUGCCUUCCUUAACACACAUCUUCAACUGCUCUCUUCUGGUUUUGUCCCUGCUGACCUUAAACAUGUCACUGUAGUACCUAUCCUGAAAAAAACAUCUCUUGACCCAUCCUCCCCCUUUAUCAUCCCAUAUCCCUGCUCCCUUUUUCCUCAAAGCUUCUGGAAAGAAUUGUCUUUGCCCGUGUGUCUCACUUCUUCAAUUCCAACUCUCCCCUUAAUUCUCUUCAAACUGGCUUCCGCCCUCUCCACUCUACUGAGACUGCUCUUAUCAAAGUUACAAACGACCUAAUCGCAGCUAAAUCCAAAGGCCACUACUCCAUACUAAUUCUUCUUGACCUCAAUGCUGCCUUUGACACUGUUGAUCAUGCACUCCUUCUUCAAACUCUUCAAUCACCCAGUCCCUAUGACUAUGUCCUCUCGUGGUUUUCCUCUUAUCUCUCCCAAUGCUCAUUUAGUGUCUCCUUUUCUAAUGAUACCUCUUUCCCUCGUCCUGUCUCGGUUGGAGUCCCCCAAGGUUCUGUCCUUGGUCCCCUUCUAUUUUCUCUUUAUACUGCCUCUCUUGGCAAACUCAUUACCUCUUUUAGAUUCAACUACCACCUGUACGCUGAUGACACCCAGAUAUAUCUCUCCUCGCCGGACCUCUUCCCUGCCAUCCUGCAACGUGUCACUGCUUGCCUUUCUUCCAUCUCUGACUGGAUGUCCUCCCACUUUCUGAAACACAUUCUCUCUAAAACUGAGCUCCUUGUCUUUCCUCCUCCUAAUACUGAUCCUCCUCUUUCACUCUCCCUUCAAGUUAGUGGUAUCCACAUAAGUCCAUCAUUGCAAGAGUGAUGUCUUGGUGACAUACUAGACUCUGGCCUCACCUUUGAGCCUCACAUCCAGUAUGUUGCCAAAUCCUGUAGAUUCCAUCUUAAAAACAUAGCCCGCAUCCAGCCCUUUCUUAUGCAAGAUGCUACCACGGAGCUUGUCCAUGCUCUAGUAAUUUCCCGCAUGGAUUAUUGUAACCCUUUCCUGAUUGGUCUUCCCAAAAGCCGUAUUGCCCCUCUACAGUCUGUAAUGAAUGCUGCCGCCAGACUAAUUUUCCUCUCUAGUCGGUCCUCUCACACCUCACCCCUCUAUCAGUUCUUACAUUGGCUACCUGUAUCCUAUAGGAGUGAAUUCAAAGUGAUAACCCAUACCUAUAAAGCACUGAACAAUUCUAGCCCCUCUUAUAUCUCUUCACAGAUCCAUAGGUAUGCCCCUUCUCAGUCUCUCCCCUCUGCCUGUGACCUUCUCCUGUCCGCUGCUCGCACCCGUAGUCUUGCAGGACUUCUCGUUGGUGGCUUCCUUCCUAUGGAAUAGCCUGCCUACCGCCAUCAGACUCUCCCAUAGUCUUUAAUCGUUUAAGAAGUGCCUUAAAACCCAUCUCUUGAGGAAAGCUUAUGGCCUCCCAGAGUAACCUCUACCUUACAUACCUGUCUCUUGCUAUCUCCUAAAGGGCAGCACUUUAUUCUCUCCUCCAGCUCUGCUUGACUCCCACCUUAUUUGAUUAUUUCCUGUCCUAAUGUGUUUUAUGCGCCACCUUCUAUAGACUGUAAGCUCGUUUGAGCAGAGUCCCCUUCAACCUAUUGUUCCUGUAAGUUUUCUUGUAAUUGUCCUAUUUAUAGUUAAAUCCCCCCCCCCCUCAUAUUAUUGUAAAGAGCUACGGAAUCUGUUGGCGCUAUAUAAUGGCGAUUAUAAUACUACUACACAUGGUGCUACCCACACUGUUAUACACACACACACUUCUACACAUACUAUUACACAUGCUUCUACCCACACUGUUAUGCACACACUUCUACACAUACUGCUACCCACACUGUUACACACACCUCUACACAUACUGCUACCCACAGUUAUACACAUGCACAUACAUACUGCUUACCACACUGUGCACAUACAGACACACCUACAUCAGCUACACACACUACUACACAAUAGUGAUGUCCCGAACAGUUCGCCGAACGGUUCGCCGCGGAUGGCGAACAUAUGACCCUGUACCUCACAGUCAGCAGACACAUUCCAGCCAAUCAGCAGCAGACCCUCCCUCCCAGACCCUCCCACCUCCUGGACAGCAUCCAUUUUACAUUCAUUGUGAAGCUGCAUUCUUAGUGAGCUGUCCAGGAGGUGGGAGGUUCUGGGAGGGAGGGUCUGCUGCUGAUUGGCUGGAAUGUGUCUGCUGACUGUGAGGUACAGGGUCAUAUGUUCGCCGUCCGUGGCGAACCGUUCGGGACAUCACUACUACUCAACAAUUACUGCAGACCACUUCUUUUCCAAUAUAUUUAGAUAUUCUCAUUUUCAAACAGAUGCUUCAUGCGAGAUACAGUAUCUUACUAUAAAGUAGAUCAGAUUAAUUUCAAGCAGAUUUUAAGAAUGUUACAGUAACAUAUGUGGACUAAAAUCAGAAUCCCUAAAAAAGAAUUCCAUUGUAUUUUUUUUUUUUAACAUGUCCCACUUAAUUUAGGCUGUUCUCUAAGAAAGAUAGACUCCUACCCAAUAUUCCAUAGAGAGAAGAUUUGUGCAGUGAGGCAUGGUCUAUACACAAAAACUGCGUUGUUACGCUAAAGUUGUUUUGGUGACUAUAGUGUCCCUUUAACAUGCAAGGUUAUUGUAAAAGUUAACUCUUACAUGGUCUCUUAGACAACUAGUGCUAGCAGUAAAACUUUAAAUGCAAUUAAUAAUUAUUUUUUAAUUAUUAAGUAUUUUGUGUGAAAAGAGUCCUGCCACUGCUUAACUACAAUCAGGCCAUGACUUAUAAAAUACUUUUUUUUUUUUUUUAGAAAGAUUUCCCUCACAAUGGCAUCCAUUUGGACGGAAGAAUCAGAAGCCUAACCCUCGAUGGGAGGAGGAAUACUGGGAUUCUCGGAGCUGGCAAUAAAUCUAAUGGUUAUUUCAUUUCAAAUUAUUUCACUAUCUUUCCUUUUUCAAAUAGUUUCUUACUGGUUAGUCGUUUCUCAUGAACUCACAUGAAACAUGAUGUGUGUGGUGCUUUGAAGUCAAAUGUCUAUGCAUGAAAUUCUUUCAUUUAACUUCAUAUAUUAUGUGUACGUUGCCAUGCAACCACAUGUACAGUGUGUGAAUGCAUGUGUUUGUGCAUAUGUUAGCAUUAGGCAGAUUUACUGAGAAGUAACAUAUACCAGCUCAGUGACAAAAGAGCCUUUCUCCACUAAGUUUCUCAAGCUUCUUUUAGAACCAAAAAUGUCUAAUUCAAUAAUUCUUUGGAUAGGGUUGCCACCUAGCUGGCAUAUAAGACUUUCUGGCCAGUGUUGGUGUAGCGGCAACACCGGCAGACUGGAGCAAGAAUUUCAACUUGCUAUUUAACAUUGCGGGUAUACACACAUCCUCCCCAGAAGAGAAUCUGAGAAUCAGAUAUAAUAUACACACAGUGACACUCAGUGCUACAGACACAGUACACACACAAACAUCCUGUCCUGUCUGCCCAUUAAUAGUGUGCUCCUGAUACUCUCUGGGUGUCUUAAAGAAAGUGUAGCUUGAAACAAGUACUUUUUGACCAGCCAACAUCUCACCAUACUACUUAACUGACAGAGGAAUGCGUAGCAAAGGUCCUUUCCUCAGCACCCCCUGCUGACUGACACCUGAGGGGUAUCGUCUCCUCUCCUUAUGUAGCCUGAUGUAGCAUUACACUACUGGUCUUCCUUUUUGUAACAGGAUGCUGCUUUGACAAAAAAUUCUAAAUUAAAAAAACAAACCUAAUAUACUAUGCCUCCUCUACCAACUGUAGUCCCGGGAGAGCCCCACAUCUGUGGCUUUAGCCCCCCCCCCCUCUAGCCCCUCCCAGCAAUGCCUAUGCUACACACACAGAUACUACACAUAUACACUGCUACAAACAGACAUAUAUACAGAUAUAUGCAUACACUCACACACGAGUACGUAAGGAGCUAAGUGGGGAAAUAAGUGAUCCUCUGUAUUUAAUCUUUCAAGAUUCUUUUGUUUCAGGUAUUGUACCGGAGGACUGGAGGAAGGCAGAUGUUAUUCCUAUUUUAAAAAAUGGUUCAGAAUCCUUGCCUGGAAGUUAUAGACCUGUGAGCUUAACUUCUGUGACUGGGAAAAUAUUUGAAGGACUAUUAAGGAUAAUAUUCAGGAAUUCAUUGGAAAGAACUUUGUUAUUAGCAAUAAUUAGCAUGGUUUUAUAAACAUAGGACAUGUCAAACUAACCUAAUUGCAUUCUACAAAGACGUAAAUAGAAAUAUAGAUCAUGGUGUUGCAGUAUAUGUGAUCUACUUGGAUUUUGCCAAGGCAUUUGAUACGGUUUCUCACAAUAGGUUAGUGUUCAAACUAAAAGAAAUUGGUCUAGAUUAAUAUUCUUGUUCUUGGGUAGAACAUUGGCUUAAGGAUAGAGUACAACGAGUUGUCAUUAAAAGACCACUAUAGUGCCAGGAAAACAUACUCGUUUUCCUGGCACUAUAGUGCCCUGAGGGUGCCCCCACCCUCAGGGUCCCCCUCCCGCCGGGCUGGAUGGUGAGGAAAGGGGUUAAUCUUACCUUUCUCCAGCGCCGGGCGGGAGUUCUCCUCCUCCUUUCCGCCUCCGAUCCUCCUCUUCGGCUGAAUGCGCAUGCGCGGCAGGAGCUGUGCACGCAUUCAGCCAGUCUCAUAGGAAAGCAUUUACAAUGCUUUCCAAUGGACGCUGGCGUCUUCUCACUGUGAUUUUCACAGUGAGAAGCACGCAAACGCCUCUAACGGCUGUCAAUGAGACAGCCACUAGAGGCUUUAGAGGCUGGAUUAACCCUAACAUAAACAUAGCAGUUUCUCUGAAACUGCUAUGUUUAUAAAAAAUAAAAAAAAGGUUAAUCCUAGAGUGACCUGGCACCCAGACCACUUCAUUAAGCUUAAGUGGUCUGGGUGCCUAGAGUGGUCCUUUAAUGGUAAAUUUUCAGGCUGGACAAGAGUGGUAAGUAGUGUCCCUCAGGGUUCUGUUUUGGGACCGCUUCUAUUUAACAUAUUUAUAAAUGAUCUUGAAAUAGGCAUUGAAAGCCAUGUAUCAAUGUUGCAGAUGACACAAAACUUUGUAAAGUAAUAAAAUGUGAGCAGGAUAUUACUUUGCUGCAGAGGGAUUUAGAUAGAUUGGGGGACUGGGCACUAAAAUGGCAGAUGAAAUUUAAUGUAGAGAAAUACAAAGUUAUGCACUUCGGGGUCAAGAAUGCACAAGCAACUUACACCCUAAAUUGUAGUGAAUUAGAGAUAACCACACACGAGAAGGAUUUGGGAAUUGUUAUAGACAACAAAUUAGGCAGAAAUAUGCUAUGUCAAUCUGUAGUUGCUAAGGCCAGUAAGGUGUUGUCAUGUAUAAACAGGGGCAUAAAUUCUCGAGAUGAAACUAUAAUUUUGCCUCUUUAUAAAUCGCUGGUAAGACCACACCGUGAAUAUGCUGUGCAAUUUUUGGGCACCUGUUCUAAAGAAGGAUAUCAUGGCACUAGAAAAAGUGCAUAAGGUUAAAAAAUUUAAAUAUCAUUAGUUUGGAAAAACGGUGCCUCAGAGGGGAUAUGAUAAUAUUAUACAAAUAUAUUUGGGGCCCGUACAAACCAUUAUCUGUAAAUCUAUUCAUAAACGGGGCUAGACAUAGGACACGAGCUCAUGCAUUUAGGCUGGAAGAAAGGACAUUUCAUGUAAAUCAAAUAAAAGUUGUUGUUUUUUUUUUUUACAGUAAGAGCAAUAAGGAUAUAGAAUUCUCUGCCUGAAGAGGUGGUUUUAUCAGAGUCCAUACAGAUGUUUAAACUGAAAUUGGAUAAAUACUUGCAAAAAGUUAACAUACAGGGAUAUAAUUUCUAAUUAGUGGGGUAAUAGCAGCUUGAUCCAAGGAGAUAUCUGACUGCUAUUUUGGGGUCAAGAAGGAAUUAUUUCCUAGUUUGUUGCAAAAUUGGAAGCGCUACUGACUGGGUUUUUUGCCUUCUUUUGGAUCAACAGCAAAAACAUAUGUGAGGAAGACUGAACUUGAUGGACGCAAGUCUCUUUUCAGCUAUGUAACAAUGUAAUGUGUGUAUACAGCAUUUUUUCUUAGACAUUUUUAUGUAGGCGUUUUUGUUUUUUUCAGGUUUUUGUGGCUGAAUGCCUACACUUAAGAAUUCUGUGUCCACGUGUACUCAUGAUCUAAAUCGAGCCCUGGGGGGGACAAGGUCAGGUGGAAGGGUGCCAAAUGCUCACUGGGUCAGCAUUAUAAGAGUUGAAGCCAUUUUAAGAGGUGAAGCGCACUGUCAGGUGAUCAAGAGUGCAGUCCAUAUAACAGUUUAGAGGCACCAUAUGUCCUGCCCACAAGUUAAGUUCAGUCAUCCGAAGUCCAGGACAGAUACAAGUCAGUCAUCAUUAAUGUGAAAGAUGAAUAAAGAGUUGUCUAUUGGUCUCCGAGUUGAAGCCCUCCAGCACUGGUCCUUCUGCCAAUGACAUAGUGUAUGAAUGGUCAAAUCUCUCAUUCCUCUAUGAGUUUACCUUCUGUAUUACAUCGUCCUAACUCUGUCCAUCUAUUACAAUCUCCUGUUUUAGCUUCUAAUCAUGUAUAAUUAAUUGCUCAAUUUAUCUUUUUACAGAUGAAAACAUUUUUCUCCGUACAACUCUGGAUGGAUGAAUUUGCAUGUCUUUACAGAUAUCAGAAUUUUAACAGAAAAGUGAACUUUCUGAAUAAUUGUACAAUAAAAUACACCAAAGCACUUUCAAGGAUAAUCUCCUUUCAAUUCCAAAUAAACGACGGAAUUCACAUUGCUAUCACAUACAAACAGUCACUGGUCCCCCACACGUUGCACACUAUAUAAUUUCCAGCAUUGUCUGCAAGUACAGUUGCUAGAUCCACCAUAUUUUUCUUAAUAUAUAGACAGGAUUAUUAUUCACUAAAGUGAGAAUUCAAAGGGAAUCUCAAAUAAUUUAAGGCAUAAGUAGCUGAGCUGGAAGGACGUUAUUUUGACUUUAAAGCAACAUGUCAGUACCCCUGCAAAAUUAGUAUUUCAUAAAGAUAAAAUCUUCGUGAAAUACUCAUACUGACUAUGUUGGAAUCUCACUGAAAUUCCAGACGAGUCAAAAGAUAUAUUGAGUCAAAGUAGGGACUACUUCCUACGUCUGUCACUUGUAGACACUGGGCGGAGCCACCGCCAUCUAGAAUCAUGGACGGCAGAGAUAUUAGCUGUAUCUAUGGGAUCCUCCAUAGACCUCAAUGCUGUACUUUCUCGCAUCCCCGAGAUUAUAGCAGUGACAUCAGCUCCUGGUAUUGAAACACGAGGAUCAGAAGAGGACUUGCCAGAAGAAGUUGGCGGUGCCCGCGAGGGACAGAUUCAGGUAAGUGAAUGUCACUUUUCCCUCCCGACCAAGCCACCAGACCACAAAUGGCAAUGUCACCAUCGGGGGUCUUUGCAAGUAAUGCAAAGUAACUCAGACGGUGACAACGCCACUUUAAAUUUUAAAUUCACUUUGAAUUCUCAUUUUAAUGGAAAAACCUGAGAAUUACAGCAAACUCAAACGGUCCCCUGAAUUAAUUCUCUGCCUGAGGUAUAUGAAUCUACAUAAUACAAGGUAGCCCUUUUAAUGUAUUGUCCAUAGCAUGCGACAGUAAUCUGUAUUAAAAAAAAAAACACUGUAUAUGUGGCAACUAUAGCAGCAAAAUAAUGAAGUAUUGCAGUUUCCUAUGGUACCUUUUUUAUUGAACUAACAGUGACAUGCUUUUUGGUGUUUCUCCCUUCAUCAAGUCUAAAGCAUUUCUAGCAACAGCAGCUGGCAGAGUAUGCUGGGAGAUGUAGGAUGAGAUUUAUCUAGGCAGAACAGGUGCUGAGUGCUGAAUGUUGACAGUCACUCUAUGGUGACUGUACACAGACUAUACAACUAACUGCUUAUUUCUAUUUCCGUUCCCUUUUCAUAGAGAUAGUGAUCAUGGCAAGCAUCAUGCUAUGUUUGAUACUUGACAUACUUGAAAACGAGAGAAAUCUCAAUGUAUCUUUCCUGGUAAAAUAUUUUAUAAAUAAAUUUAAGAAAGGCCUCAGUCAGCAAAAAUAGUUAUAGCAAAACCCUUUUAGGGGUCCUAUGAGAAUAAGAUGGCAUGCCACCUAGUAUAUAUAUUUCCUGUUUUUAAAAGAAGAAUAACAACCAAAACAAGAGGAUGUAGUCUUAAAUUUGAUGGGCAAAGGUUUAAAAAUAAUAUCCCGAAGUAUUACUUUACUGAGAGGGUAGUUGAUGCAUGGAAUAGCCUUCCAGCUGAAGUGGUAGUGGUUAACACAGUAAAGGAGUUUAAGCAUGCGUAGGAUAGGCAUAAGGCUAUCCUAGAUAUUAGAUAAGGCCAGUGACUAAUGAGAGUAUUUAGAAAAUUGGGCAGACUAGUUGGGCCGAAUGGUUCUUAUCUUUCAUCACAUUCUAUGUUUCUAUAAACCUGUAGAAUCCAAUGGUUUUACAAACAGAAAAGUAUUACUAACGCCAACCACUAGGUGGCAGAUUAACUCAAUGAAUACGCUUCUAUAGCGAAAUCUGCAUGAACUUCAUCUUUGUAGAAUCAAUUUUACAUAAUUUAUGAUCUGAGAUCUUGUGCCUGAGAGCUCCUGC